GUUGGCCCACUGCUGAAUGGGUUGGAUGUCCUAUUGACAAAGGGCAUAGAAAAGGCCCCAGGCUUCACUAGCAUGGCCUCCCUGGUCUCCAUGCCUAGUGGCAGAGUUCAGGAGAGAGAGGUAUGUUAGAAGAAGAUAAAAUUAUAGGUCAUUUAAGGAAUCUGCACAUACCUGACCCUGUGAGACCAGACUGGCUGUACCUGAGGGCACUGAGGGAGCUGGGUGAUGUCAUUGCAAGGCCAUUCUACAUCAUUUUUCAAAACUCUUGGCAGCUGGGGAAGGAUCCUGACGACUGCCAUGGAAAAGGCAAGUGUCACACCCGUCUUCAAAAAGGGCAAGAAGGAAGAUCCGGGAAAUGACAGACCAGUCAGCCUCACCUCAGUCCCUGGGAAACUUUUGGAGGAGAUCCUCCUUGAAACCAUGUCCAAGGACAUGAAGGCACAAAAAGGACAACAAGGGUUACCAGAUGUUUAGAUGUUUCUGGACAACCCCCUGCACAUGCAGGCCAGGGGAUGGGCUAGAGCUGUGGUUAACUCCCUGAUCCACAUGCCAUGCUCCAGGUACCAAGGACUUACUGAGGACAUCAAGUUUGAUGCACAGCAGGAGCCUUCCUUUGAACUUAUUUACUCUCACCAUGCCUGGUGGCUGGUGGAUAAGCUGUGGGUCUGGCUGGUGUAGUCGAGAGCAUUGGAUAGAGCCAUCCUGCAGUUUCUGCAGGAAGAACACAAGAUCCCAGCUGGCCCAAGCUCUCCCUCCUCACCCAACUUUGGAGACACUUGGGGGGCCCACACUGGAUGAGGUGGCCUCGAAGUGCACUAAGAGCAGUCCCUUGAGUUGCAAGAGCUGCCUGGGAAAGGGAACAGCCUGCAAGGGGAUGCCACGGUGUGGGUCCUGAGCCUGCUAUGCCUGCAUCGAUGCAGAGGCACGGCAAUCCCCGUGAUGCUGAGUCCUACUGCCCUCAGGGCCUGAGAAGAGGCAGGUGAAAGAGCCAGUGGCUGGGAAGGGGUCUGAUCUUGCCGCUGUGCCCCGAAGCAAGAGGUGAAUGGCAAUGAACACCUGCCUUUGGCUGCAGUUUCUCUUCUUGGCACCAAGCGCUCGUGUUUGGAUUCAAAGUGCGGUAACAAAGCCCUUGCCGGCGAACACAUUUCAACAUGUUAUUAUUCCCAGGCUGGCUUUCAAGAUCCUCUUUCUAUUCCUUCUGUACUGAUUGCUCUUGUUUCUCUUGGCUCCCAGCUCUGGCUUUUCAGGCUUCAUUAACUGGAAUUUAUUAGCAACUUUAAACAAUCUUCAUGCUGCCAAAAAGAGAGAAAGAAAGAAAAGAAGAAAAAAAAGAAAGAAACAAAGAGGAGACACACUAAACUGCAGGCUGCUCCCUGCCUGUGUGAGGCCCAGGUCUGAACACCUCUAUCACUGGAGGUUUUCUCUGGAGGAAAGGAACGGUAAGUGCAGACAGAGGAGAGUGCAGACUGAUGGAGAGCUGUCACGGAGGAGACCUCGGUGAUGUUGCCUCUUCAAAGCCGGCUGAGACUGGAGAAUCUGGCCUCUUGGCAGCCUCCGAGCAUUGAGUGCUAAUUGCAUCCACAACACCUUCCUGAGCAGCUCACAGUAAAAACUAAUGACUAACAGGUCCCGGCACACCUGAGAGGCCCAUUCUCGUCACUGAAUGGAUGGGUAAACAGAGGCACUGGCAGGGAAAAAUCACUCUACCAAGACCACACAGUGAGUGAGCAGUUUGAGCUGGAGCAGUCCUGGUGCCCUCAUCCGUGCCCUAACCCCAGCAUUGCCUCUCAUCCCUUGUGGGACACAGCCGUUUGGUCUCCAGAGGGGAGAUGAGCUAACGCAGAAAUGUCCUGUGGGACACAGCCGGGCUGGACAUCAUGGGGUGGCUUGGGUGAUUGCUUCGCUGUCCUCAAGACCCUCACGUGCCAUCCUGCUCUCACUUGUUCUUCACAUGCCCGCCACCUGGCAUGGCUGUGUGCAGAGGACUAACAUACUCAGGGCUCAGGUGGGUCCAGCAACCCAGAUUUACAGUGCUCCACAGUAGCCUGAAGGAUGUGCAACAAGGCACAUUUGUCCUCAGUGUCCAUGGGACACAUGUGCUUAAUCUACCCAUUUUUGCAGCUUUCUUUCCCCUUUCUAUUAUUCCUGCUCCUUAGUUGAACCCCAGCACCAUGCACAAGCUGAGCCUUGAGUCCUGAUCUCUGACUUUCAUGAAACUUCACCUUCAUGAGGAGCCUGAGAUGGUGAUAAAAUAGAGUCACAGAAAGAGAAGGACUUGUAAAAGGUGUGGAACACCAGCUUUCCUCCAAGUUGCUGUGACUCUGGACUACUGGGACUAGAUCUAACAAGAGAAAAGAUUGGCAGCAGCAGAGCAGGAGAGGGGAACUAUGAGGAGCUCAUGGAGGAGUCAGAGGAACAUGGACUUUCUCUGACUGUCAGAGAAGAUGAGGGUUACAGAUCACAGACACAUGCGUUGAAGGGCCAGGCGUGUCAGGAGUUUCUGGGAUGUUUCUGAACAUUAGACCAGGGUAAAAAUGUCCCUAAAAUAUAAGAGUUUCCAGGGGAUCUCAAAAGGAGAUUUGAAAAUCUGUGUUGAAUUUGGCAAAUAUUUUUGGCUGAGGAACCUGUGAUUUUUUUCAGAAUGUUCAAGCAUCUUUUUUAAGGCAUCUUUGCAAUAUAGCAAAUACCAUUUGAAAUACCAUUUUCUUUUCAAGUUUGACCCAAAGUAAAAGAGUAAAGGUUAAGAAUUAAAGUGAAAAUGAAACGUACUUUUCUCUCCCAGGUUAAAAGAACUUUU